rnacentral:rRNA from 1 species
GACGAACGCUGGCGGCGUGCCUAAUACAUGCAAGUCGAACGCAGUGGGGACGGGUGAGUCACCCGUGGGUAACCUCCCAUCAGAGGGGAUAACCCUUGGAAACAGGUGCUAACCCGAUAUUGAUUGAUGGACCCGCGGUGCAUUAGCUAGUUGGUGAGGUAACGGCGCACCAAGGCCACGAUGCAGAGCCGACCUGAGAGGGUGAUCGGCCAAACUGGGACUGAGACACGGACCAGACUCCUACGGGAGGCAGCAGUAGGGAAUCUUCGGCAAUGGACGAAAGGCUGACCGAGCAACGCCGCGUGAGUGAAGAAGGUUUUCGGAUCGUAAAACUCUGUUGUUAGAGAAGCGGUAUCUAACCAGAAAGCCACGGCUAACUACGUGCCAGCAGCCGCGGUAAUUC